UACGUAGGGUGCGAGCGUUGUCCGGGAUUACUAGGCGUAAAGGGCAGGCAGGCGGAUCCAUAAGUUUAUCGUUUAAGGCGUCGGCUUAACCGGCGUAGGGCGGUAGAUACUGUGGAUCUGGAAUGCGGUUGGGGAAGACAGAAUUCCUGGUGUAGCGGUGGAAUGCGCAGAGAUCAGGAGGAAUACCGAAGGCGAAGGCAGUCUUCCAAGCCGUUAUUGACGCUCAACUGCGAAGGUGUGGGUAUCAAACAGGAUUAGAUACCCUGGUAGUCCCU
rnacentral:rRNA from 1 species